rnacentral:sRNA from 1 species
UCUCCCACCCUCCCUCGAGCAAACUUUGUCCCCCUUCUCGAGCCCUAGCCUCUUUCUCGACCCCUCUCACUACAUCAAUCCAUCAUUCUCAAUCACUGCAACCACUAUUCUCGAGGCCUAGCUUGUCGCACUCGUUCUUGUGUUGUCAACCUCGCUGAGCCUUCUUCUCCCUUAUCGACCCUUCUUGUUUGUGCUACUAUUCUUCUUCGUUCUGUGUUUCUAUUCAGUCGAAGGACCAUUCUCCUCCGUCAUUGGAACCGUAGCUGUCGUUUUCCCUCAAUCGAACCAGAGUCGUGUCCCUAUUGGAACCCUCGUUGUGUGGUAGUGAAACCCUCAUAGUGGCAGUGUGGUUGUUGUUGCAGAGUUCUUGAAUUUUCCUAAAGUGGUUGAGCAAUCUGGGAUACUUCAUUGGGAAGGCUUAAGUGUUGUAGAGUCAAGCAAAAGAUCAAUCGAAGCAAGGUAUGUUUGUUGGUGACUUUUCCCCUCUCUUGUUUUGUUUGUUCCAUGUGUGUAUGGUGUGCUUGUCCUGUCUGUGGUCUGAUUUCUUAGGUCUCCACUAACAUAUGUUCAGUAAUAUGUGCUUUCGGCAAAACUGUGGUUAUAUGUUCUAUUUUAUUCGGUAUUUAAUGAGUUGUACAUCCUGUGAUUUGCUUAUGAUGUUCUUCAUGAUUAGAAAUGGUUACAUUUGAUUUGCUACUGUGGAGGAUUUAUAAGCGGUUUGAGUUUUCUUUGUUAAAAUGUCUUUUCCAUUAUAUUAUUGUUCAUGAGCCCUGGAUAAAUGGACCAAAGUGAUCGAAUAUAAGAAAUACUUUUUUUUCGUAAAUAUUUAUGCUCUGACUUGUGUUUUUGACCAAGCUUCUGGCAUAGUGUGGCAUAGUGUUAAGAGAGUUUGAUGCUAGAGAAAUCAUUUAGACAACUCUUGAUUAAUAUUGAUUUGUUUUAUAAUAUUGAAUAUUUAGUUAUCCCAAAAAGAAUUGUAAUCUAAGAAACCUUGAGAUUAGUUUUUCGAAUGCCAUUAUGGUAGUUUGAUGAAUUAGAGGUAUAGAUUGGUUGACCCUUAAUCAAGUGGUUGUUCUCAUGCUUCAAAUUUGUUUUGUACUUGUGUUGUGGGCAGAAAUUGUGUCAAAUAUUCUAGUUGUGUUUGAUCUGUACUAGGAUGACAUUAUGUCACAUGACCCGAUCCCUUUCAAACUCCUUCAAAGACUAAACUUUAUGGCCCUUGUGCUCAUUAUGCAUUAUUGUGCAGUUUAUGUCUUAAAUUUAGUUAUGCAUUAGUUCUUUUUUGGUGUACUUAUUUUAAGCACUAAUGUGUGAAAUGGAAUAGUCAUUGGGAUGAAAUUAUUACUUUCACAUUUUUAAGAUGUAACAUGGGGGAAUAAAUUUUAUAGAGUUCGAUAUUUACUCUUGAUCUUGAAGAAUAUGUUUUAUGCUACUAAAACUAUUUAAUAUGAGAAGGUUGAAGGUGAAUGAUGGAACAUUUAGAGAAUGGACAUUUUCUCAUAGCUACGAAUAAAUAUAAUAGUCAGUUAUAGACUCUUGUUUGUUACAUUAUUGAUUUCCAAACGCGUUGAGUCAUUCUUAAAUUGUAAUUGCUAAGGAUUAAUUUGAUCAAAGAAAAUUUAACUUUAACUAUUAAAUGAGCUAAUAUAAUGCAUGGUAUAUUACUUUUAAGAGAUAAUAUUGUUUUUAUCCUAGAAUACAUAUAGUAAAAGGGUUUGUCAUUGAUUGUAAGGGACGUCACAAUGACCACCAAACACAACCAAUCCAAAAAUUCCACUUCAGUUGAAACCUUGUUUUGAAUAACUAAAAUCAAUUAUCUCCAACACGCACAUUCUUAAUAUUUAUGCUUCUGUUAUGUAGCCUAAUUAGGGGCUUCCUUAGGCACAACCUCACCAUAAUUAAUGCUUCAUCUCUCAUAGGUCAAGUUGGUGUUAGUUUCACAUGCAUCUACCCUUACUUGAAUAUAAGUUAGAUGAACAAACUAUUAGGGAUUCUCCCAAAUUGCAUUCCCUUUCAUGCCCUUACCAGCCUUAGUCAUGCCAACACCACUAUCAAUGAUAGUGAAUGUGUUGUUCGUCUUGUCAAGAAUAAUGUGGAUGAACAACUCUGGCUGAGCAUCAAGCUUGCUCUUGUCAAUAAGGCUCUCAAAUCGAAUUUUGUCCAAAGCCUGUACAGGUAAAACAUGCUAGAAAUCAAAUAUAAACAAAACUCCAGUCAAGAUUAAAAAUAAUGUUAUAGGUUUAUACAUAAUUAAAAACUAACUAUCAUACAUGAGCAUGUAUCUUAAAGAUUGUUAUCUUUAUUUUGUUUAAGUAAUUUAUGUAUGCCUUCUUUUUUCUGGUUUGUUGUGAACUAAGCUUAAAUUUUACCUGACACAGAUAGACUAAAGGCUGAAUAAAAUUAUUAUAGUACUUAUUGGCUUUGUGACAACUGAAUAAAUUCAUUGUCUUGUUUUUAUAAAUAAUCUAUCUUUGAAGCCUGUUAUUUUCUUUGUUUCUAUAUAUGCUUAGAUUUACAAACAAAUUCAAUCACCAAUGACACGAAAACAAUUUUUAGAUUAUUCCAUUUGCUUAACGUUGUAUUUUUUGUUGGAAUCUUAUUUGUCCUCUAUUGUCACUAACAAGGAAGGGUUUUUAGAACAUGAUAGUCUGUGUUCUGUUGGCACUCAUGGAAUUUAGGUUUGAGAUCAAUUCAACCUUCAUAGCUAGUUCUGAUAGUUGUUUUCAAUUGAUACAUACACCAUCUUCAGUGUAUUACUAAUGAAUUAAGAGAUCUCUAGCAUUUGCAAGUAAUUUUGUAAUGACUCACAACUAUUAGGAUAAGUGUUGACUUCUAAUAGUAGGUUUGAGUCAUACUUGGUUCGAAAAAUUUAUCAUGUAACUUUUCUUAAUUCUUAAUAUGAACAUUAAUAAAG